rnacentral:rRNA from 1 species
UUUUAUGGAGAGUUUGAUCCUGGCUCAGAGUGAACGCUGGCGGCGUGCCUAAUACAUGCAAGUCGAACGAUGAAGCUUCUAGCUUGCUAGAAGUGGAUUAGUGGCGCACGGGUGAGUAAGGUAUAGUUAAUCUGCCCUACACAAGAGGACAACAGUUGGAAACGACUGCUAAUACUCUAUACUCCUGCUUAACACAAGUUGAGUAGGGAAAGUUUUUCGGUGUAGGAUGAGACUAUAUAGUAUCAGCUAGUUGGUAAGGUAAUGGCUUACCAAGGCUAUGACGCUUAACUGGUCUGAGAGGAUGAUCAGUCACACUGGAACUGAGACACGGUCCAGACUCCUACGGGAGGCAGCAGUAGGGAAUAUUGCGCAAUGGGGGAAACCCUGACGCAGCAACGCCGCGUGGAGGAUGACACUUUUCGGAGCGUAAACUCCUUUUCUUA